UACGAAGGGGGCUAGCGUUGCUCGGAAUCACUGGGCGUAAAGGGCGCGUAGGCGGACUCUUAAGUCGGGGGUGAAAGCCCAGGGCUCAACCCUGGAAUUGCCUUCGAUACUGAGAGUCUUCGAGUUCGGGAGAGGUGAGUGGAACUGCGAGUGUAGAGGUGAAAUUCGUAGAUAUUCGCAAGAACACCAGUGGCGAAGGCGGCUCACUGGCCCGAUACUGACGCUGAGGUGCGAAAGCGUGGGGAGCAAACAGG
rnacentral:rRNA from 1 species